rnacentral:lncRNA from 1 species
GUGGAAAUCUAUGUUUUGAAGUCCAUUGUGGUCACUUCUCUAUGACCUAACUUGGUUUCCAUAACAACAUUUUCUCAGGCCACAUCACAAGGUAAUCAGUUUAUCCCUCCUGUCCUAUUAGCACCUUACCGCUGUGUCAGUGGAAUGAAGCCAGUCCGUCAAGCAUGGAAUAAGAAGAUGGCCAAUGAUGAAGUAGAAAAGCCAAGCCUCUGCAGAUAACAAGUCCAUCAGCACCUUGACCAGGCACUGUGCCGAAGCAAAGAUUG